rnacentral:snRNA from 1 species
AUACUCUGAUUUCUCUUCAGAUCAUAUAAAUCUUUCACUUUUUACUAAAGAUUUCAAUGGAGAGGAGCAAAGGGUUUAUAACUAAUUUUUCAAGGCCUAGUUUACAUGAGGGU